rnacentral:rRNA from 1 species
UGGGGAAUCUUCCGCAAUGGGCGCAAGCCUGACGGAGCAACGCCGCGUGAGUGAAGAAGGGUUUCGACUCGUAAAGCUCUGUUGUCGGGGACGAAUGUGGAGAUGGUGAAUAACCAUUUCCAAUGACGGUACCUGACGAGGAAGCCACGGCUAACUACGUGCCAGCAGCCGCGGUAAUACGUAGGUGGCGAGCGUUGUCCGGAAUUAUUGGGCGUAAAGGGAGCGCAGGCGGGAGGUCAAGUCUAUCUUAAAAGUGCGGGGCUCAACCCCGUGAGGGGAUGGAAACUGGUCUUCUUGAGUGCAGGAGAGGAAAGCGGAAUUCCUAGUGUAGCGGUGAAAUGCGUAGAUAUUAGGAGGAACACCAGUGGCGAAGGCGGCUUUCUGGACUGUAACUGACGCUGAGGCUCGAAAGCCAGGGGAGCAAACGGGAUUAGAUACCCCGGUAGUCCUGGCCGUAAACGAUGGAUACUAGGUGUAGGAGGUAUCGACCCCUUCUGUGCCGGAGUUAACGCAAUAAGUAUCCCGCCUGGGGAGUACGGCCGCAAGGCUG